CGGACGGGUGAGGAAUACAUCGGAAUCUACUCUGUCGUGGGGGAUAACGUAGGGAAACUUACGCUAAUACCGCAUACGACCUACGGGUGAAAGCAGGGGAUCUUCGGACCUUGCGCGAUUGAAUGAGCCGAUGUCGGAUUAGCUAGUUGGCGGGGUAAAGGCCCACCAAGGCGACGAUCCGUAGCUGGUCUGAGAGGAUGAUCAGCCACACUGGAACUGAGACACGGUCCAGACUCCUACGGGAGGCAGCAGGG
rnacentral:rRNA from 1 species